CCUCAUGCUCGUGGAGCGGCCGAUAUCUGAUUAGCUAGUUGGUAGGGUAAAAGCCUACCAAGGCAUCGAUCAGUAGCUGGUCUGAGAGGAAAACCAGCCACACUGUUUUUGGGAAACGGUCCAGACUCCUACGGGAGGCAGCAGUGGGGAAUUUUGGACAAUGGGCGAAAGCCUGAUCCAUCAAGGGCGCGUGAGUGAAGAAGGCCUUCGGGUUGAAAUUAAAAGGGUCAGGGAAGAAAUCGGUGAGAGCUAAUA
rnacentral:rRNA from 1 species